rnacentral:rRNA from 1 species
ACGGAGGAUGCGAGCGUUAUCCGGAUUUAUUGGGUUUAAAGGGUGCGUAGGCGGAUUAAUAAGUCAGUGGUGAAAACCUUCAGCUUAACUGGAGAACUGCCAUUGAUACUGUUAGUCUUGAGUACGGUCAAGGUAGGCGGAAUGUGUAAUGUGGCGGUGAAAUGCUUAGAUAUUACCCCGAACACCGAUUGCGAAGGCAGCUUACUGGGCCAUUACUGACGCUGAGGCACGAAAGCGUAGUGAGCGAACAU